CUCUAAAUGCUGUCUUCCAUAUCCCCUUGAAGUAAAUGGCAUUCACAAGGACCAGCGCAGUAUGGAGAUCAACCGAGCCUGGCUCAAGGAAAUUUUGGAUCUGUCCUUUAAGGAAGAAGGAGGGCAGAGAGUGGUCUGCAUGUGGAAUUCAGGUUCAUGAGGAUGAUUUAAUAGAGAGCAACUGGCACCUGGCCAGCUAUUUCUGCAAGAAGACAGUUGUUCUUUCCACCUGGAAGGAAUCAAGUCUGGG